UGCUCAAGUCCCUGAUAAAAAAAUAAAAGCAGUGGUGCCCUCGGGUUCAAAAACCUGAACGGUGGUCUUCAGUUGUUCCCCCAAGCUCCUCUAUCAGAGGCCCAGACACUCCAAGAGGCUGGGAAGAGGCAAGUGGCUUUCCCUGACUGGCAUCAGACUCCUGGAUGGCUGUGUUUCUGCAUACUCCACCAUCAACAAUCAGAAGGGCACUGCUUUCUUCAAGAAGGGGACCUUGCAAAGAACUGUCUCAGAUGGACUAUCUUUGAGUUCAUCUUGUUCUGAAUGUGAGUCUGAGUCUUUGUUUCCAGAUGACACAGUGCUGUCUGAGUCCUCUGAAUCACCUGCCUCAGAGCUGCAGCAAAGUUUCUGCUGCCCAGAAACUGAAUGGGCUGCUUGUAAUGCAGAUUCUUCCUCCUGGACAAGAAGUGCUGCUGCUUCUAGUUCUUCCAGUUCUAACCCCAACUGGGCCUUUGUAAGGGAGACUUCCUUUAAGGCUUCUGCAAGAGCUGCCAACGUUUUGGAUUUGACUUUCUGAGUCCACACACAGUAGUAUGAGAUGUAGAGAUCAUUCAGUAUGUAUGCUGGGUCGUUUUCCUGAAAAAUUUUGUGAAUAUCCAGGAGACACUUUAAAACUGCACUUUUACUUAAUUGCAGUAUCUUUAUAGUCUCCCCGUAGGCCUUCAUCGCCAGUUUGAAAUGGCGAUAGAGCAGGUAACACAAUACCCUUCUUCCAAAAGACACCAUGAUAUCAUGAACAUUAGUCCAAGUCUCAAACCAGCAUAGUAUUGGACUCAAGUUUCGUGAUAUUCCAUGCAGAUUCAACGUUCUUGUCUCCUUCAGUGACACGGGUUUCUUAGCAAUAUGCCAGAAGGAUAUCAAUCGAACUGUAGUACACUUGACGACAGGCUCUGUUGUCUAGCAGAUAAGAUUUAUUGACAAAUUCUUGUAGCUGAUAUUUCUCUUCUUCAGAAAAAGACACUAAUGCAGCAUGAUUUUCUUGCUUCUGACUCUUUUCCAAAAAGGCCGUCAUUUUUUAAUAUUUGUCAGUCCACCAAGGAUUAUACUUCAAAAUCUGUUCAACUGCCUCAUCUUCAAAAAAGUCAGCUAGAUAAUGAUCAGGAUCAAACUUGGCCAGCUCGGCGGCCAGGUGCUUUUGUUUUCGUUCUGCUGCAGGGAUGAAAUCUGGAUCCUUAAUAACAUCACUCAAUUCAUCCUGUAACUGCUGAAACACUCCUGAUCGUAAGUUUCCAAACCCAUAGUGGCAUGAGGAUUCAAAGCACUUUCUGUUACCUCUUCAUAGGGUGUCUGCUCAAUUUCCCAAUCAAACUCUUCAUCGUCAACUACUUCCUCAGGAAUUUCAGAAUCACCUAUUGCUUCCACAAGUGGUUUUGCUGUCCCGGAUUUUCCUGGUGCCAGAAGAGCAACACAUGUUCAGCCCCUCAAAAUGCUGGCCAGGGGUUUCUCUGGGCAGGCGAGUGGUAAAAAUUCCUUUAUCUGCAUCAUAGGACCCUUGCUCGCUUCCGUAUCCAUAUUCUACAAUUCUUCCAGGAGGGGUUAAUCUGAGAAAGUACGGCUUGGCAUAGUAGUCUAGGCCGACCCCUCGAAGUAGACGUUGAACUCGGAGGCCGGGGCAUAGGGCACGCGGAUGGCGAUGGUCAGGAAAUCCGGCUCCUGGCUGAGGCUGAACGCCGGGGUCAGCAUCGCGGCACCAGACGCAGGGGCCAGCGCGGCUCGCCCUCGCUGCCGCGGCGGUCCCACCAAGCAACUCUCUCCAAUUUUACCUUUUUAAAAUAAAAGAUGUCUGGGCCAGGCGCAGUGGCUCACGCUUGUAAUCCCAGCACUUUGGGAAGCCGAGGCGGGUGGAUCCUGACCUGAGGUCAGGAGUUCAAGAUCAGCCCCGCCGACAUGACGAAACUCCGUCUCUACUAAAAAUACAAACAUCAGCCGGACGUGGUGGUGGGCGCCUGUAAUCCCCACUACUCGGGAGGCUGAGGCAGGAGAAUCACUUGAACCCGGGAGGCAGAGGUUGCAAUGAGCCGAGAUCAUGCCACUGUACUCCAGCCUGGGUGACAGAGUGAGACUCUGUCUC
rnacentral:lncRNA from 10 species